GACGAACGCUGGCGGCGUGCUUAACACAUGCAAGUCGAACGGAAAGGCCCUGCUUUUGUGGGGUGCUCGAGUGGCGAACGGGUGAGUAACACGUGAGUAACCUGCCCUUGACUUUGGGAUAACUUCAGGAAACUGGGGCUAAUACCGGAUAGGAGCUCCUGCUGCAUGGUGGGGGUUGGAAAGUUUCGGCGGUUGGGGAUGGACUCGCGGCUUAUCAGCUUGUUGGUGGGGUAGUGGCUUACCAAGGCUUUGACGGGUAGCCGGCCUGAGAGGGUGACCGGCCACAUUGGGACUGAGAUACGGCCCAGACUCCUACGGGAGGGAGCAGUGGGGAAUAUUGGACAAUGGGCGGGAGCCUGAUGCAGCAACGCCGCGUGCGGGAUGACGGCCUUCGGGUUGGAAACCGCUUUCGCCUGUGACGAAGCGUGAGUGACGGUAAUGGGUAAAGAAGCACCGGCUAACUACGUGC
rnacentral:rRNA from 1 species